rfam:Zootermopsis nevadensis contig34287, whole genome shotgun sequence.
UAAACGGCCCUUUUCAGGGCCCCAAAUUAUCUUGAGAGUUUGGUUAU